rnacentral:tRNA from 1 species
GCCCAGAUAGCUCAGUUGGUAGAGCAACGCACUCGUAAUGCGUAGGUCCCGAGUUCGACUCUCGGUUUGGGCUCCA